UGUUAGAGCAAUCGAAGCAGUGAACUUAAGCCCCAGUAAACGGCGGCCGUAACUAUAACGGUCCUAAGGUAGCGAAAUUCCUUGUCGGGCAAGUUCCGACCCGCACGAAAGGCGUAACGAUUUGGGCACUGUCUCAACAACAGACUCGGUGAAAUUGUAAUUCCGGUGAAGAUGCCGGAUACCUGCGACAGGACGGAAAGACCCCAUGGAGCUUUACUGUAGCUUGACAUUGGGU
rnacentral:rRNA from 1 species